GCUAAAGAUUUAUCAUUGAUUCAAGAAGCUAAAGAUUUAUUAUUGAUUCAAGAAGCUAAAGAUUUAUCAUUGAUUCAAGAAGCUAAAGAUUUAAAAACAGAUUUUGAAGAAAUAAAAAACUUCAUUUUACCCAAGAAGUAUCCACUAUAUUUAGCUGGCAACCAUGGAGAAAAAAAAAUUUCCGUGUCAAAGCCGCUAGAUAUAAAAUGCUCAAUGGUAAAUUAUUUCACCAUUCCCACACUGGUGAAGUAAUUAUCGACUCUAUAAAAAGAAAGGAGCUUAUAAAAACAGUCCACGGUGGUUGUGAUACCAAUAUUGAAGCUACAUCACUUGCUGCCCAUUUUGGUAUCACCAAGACUCACAAAAAAUUGGCUGAUAGCUUCUGGUGGCCAAAUAUGAAAGAUGAUGUAGUCAAAUUUAUCAAUUCUUGUGACAUCUGUCAAAGGUGUAAUACAAGAUUUGAUAAAACUACCAAUGAGUUACAAUAAAUUCCUAUUAGAGCAAAGGUAUGGUCACAAAUAGGAGUUGAUUUGUGUACUUUGCCAGAAAGUGAGGAUGGCUAUAAAUAUAUUGCAGUAGCUGUUGAUUACUUCAGUAAGUAUGUUGUAGCCAUGCCUUUAAAGUAUAAAACAGCGAAAUCAGUAUCGAAAUUCCUUUAUUCGUUACUAUGCACAUAUGGCAGAGCAAAAAUUCAAAUUAAUGAUCAAGGACGGGAGUUUCUGAAUGAAGUUAGCACUAAUUAUCACAAACUCGUGGGGACCAUGCAGAGGGUGACAAGUGCUUAUCACCCCUCAAGCAAAUGGCAUGGUUGAAAGGGUAAAUAGAACUAUCCAAAAUGCACUUCUAAAGUGUAUUGAAGAUGAUCAAUUAACUUGGACAAAUGCCCUGCCUGGCAUAUUAUUUGCC